AGAAUCAACGCUGGCGGCGUGCCUAACACAUGCAAGUCGAACGCGAAAGUCCCGCAAGGGAUAAGUAGAGUGGCAAACGGGUGAGUAACACGUGGGUGACCUGCCUUCGAGUGGGGGAUAACGUCCCGAAAGGGACGCUAAUACCGCAUGACAUCCUGCUUUUUAAGAGGUGGAGAUCAAAGCUGGGGAUCGCAAGACCUAGCGCUUGAAGAGGGGCCCGCGCCUGAUUAGCUAGUUGGUGGGGUAAUGGCUCACCAAGGCAACGAUCAGUA
rnacentral:rRNA from 1 species